rnacentral:lncRNA from 1 species
UCAAGCACAGAUCGGCCCGACGGCCGCGCGACGCGGCGAGUAACCUGCCGCUAAUUACGCAAGGGGAAAACAGAAAGGCACAGACAGAUCCGUUUUUCCAGAUUUUAAGAUCGCCGCCUUCAACUUUUGAUCAUCGGUACUGCUAAACGAAAUUUCCACGCGUUGCCGAUCACAGUGCUUGCAUCGUUGGUGGCCUGCGUGGUGUGCCUGGCCUAGCUGACGACGGGGAGGAUACAAGGUUCAGUCUGCUGCUACUGCUGUUGUUCGCUGUAUUCUGUAUUCUGC